UGGCCUCCUCCAAUAUCUAGAGAUGCCUCU
rnacentral:piRNA from 1 species